rnacentral:snRNA from 1 species
AUGACUGGUUCCUAGAAAAU